GACGAACGCUGGCGGCGUGCUUAACACAUGCAAGUCGAACGGUAAGGCCCUUCGGGGUACACGAGUGGCGAACGGGUGAGUAACACGUGGGUGAUCUGCCCUGCACUUCGGGAUAAGCCUGGGAAACUGGGCCUAAUACCGGAUAGGACUACUGCCGGCAUGGGUGGUGGGGGAAAGCUGUUGCGGUGUUGGAUGGGCCCGCGGCCUAUCAGCUUGUUGGUGGGGUGAUGGCCUACUAAGGCGACGACGGGUAGCCGGCCUGAGAGCGUGAGCGGCCACCCUGGGACUGAGAUACGGCCCAGACUCCUACGGGAGGCAGCAGUGUGGAAUAUUGCACAAUGGGCGCAAGCCUGAUGCAGCGACGCCGCGUGAGGGAUGACGGCCUUCGGGUUGUAAACCUCUUUCAGCACCGACGAAGCGCAAGUGACGGUAGGUGCAGAAGAAGGACCGGCCAACUAUGUGCCAGCCGCCGCCGUAA
rnacentral:rRNA from 1 species